rnacentral:rRNA from 1 species
AUUGAACGCUGGCGGCAUGCCUUACACAUGCAAGUCGAACGCGAAAGCGGGGCAGCCCGCAAGUAGAGUGGCGAACGGGUGAGUAAUACAUCGGAACGUGUCCAGUAGCGGGGGAUAACCUCUCGAAAGAGAGGCUAAUACCGCAUACGUCCUACGGGAGAAAGAGGGGGAUCGCAAGACCUCUCACUAUUGGAGCGGCCGAUGUCGGAUUAGCUAGUUGGUGAGGAAAAGCUCACCAAGGCGACGAUCCGUAGCUGGUCUGAGAGGACGGCCAGCCACACUGGAACUGAGACACGGUCCAGACUCCUACGGGAGGCAGCAGUGGGGAAUUUUGGACAAUGGGCGCAAGCCUGAUCCAGCCAUGCCGCGUGAGUGAAGAAGGCCU